rnacentral:tRNA from 1 species
GAGGGUAUAGCUCAGUGGUAGAGUGCACGCUUAGCAUGAGGUCCUGGGUUCAAUCCCAGGCCCUCU